rnacentral:rRNA from 1 species
UACGGGAACCUCCGCCCAUAGUCUGGGAUACCACUUGGAAACAGGUGCUAAUACCGGAUAAGAAAGCAGAUCGCAUGAUCAGCUUUUAAAAGGCGGCGUAAGCUGUCGCUAUGGGAUGGCCCCGCGGUGCAUUAGCUAGUUGGUAAGGUAAAGGCUUACCAAGGCGAUGAUGCAUAGCCGAGUUGAGAGACUGAUCGGCCACAUUGGGACUGAGACACGGCCCAAACUCCUACGGGAGGCAGCAGUC